rnacentral:sRNA from 1 species
GGCAACAAGAUGGCGGCUGCGGGGCCGGCUCCGCGGCGCGUGGGCUUCGUGGGCGCGGGCCGCAUGGCGGGGGCCAUCGCGCAGGGCCUCAUCAGAGCAGGAAAAGUGGAAGCUCAGCACAUACUGGCCAGUGCACCAACAGACAGGAACCUAUGUCACUUUCAAGCUCUGGGUUGCCGGACCACGCACUCCAACCAGGAGGUGCUGCAGAGCUGCCUGCUCGUCAUCUUUGCCACCAAGCCCCAUGUCCUGCCAGCUGUCCUGGCAGAGGUGGCUCCUGUGGUCACCACUGAACACAUCUUGGUGUCCGUGGCUGCUGGGGUGUCUCUGAGCACCCUGGAGGAGGUGAGUGUCCCUUGGGCUAAGGCCUUGGUCCCAGUAUAGGCUCUGCUGGCGAGGCUUGGGCGGCAGGCAGCCCCCCAGAGGGCCUGAGAGGUGGCCGGGUGGCGCACCUGGAUCAAGUGGCUGGAUUUAGGGUUCCCUCCUGGUGCUGUACCUGGGAGGCAGACGCUGGAGCCCACCACGAACUGACGUGGACCUUUCCUGAGGCCCCUGCUGGGGCCUGCCCAGCAGGGCCCAGUCCUACAGACUCCCUGAUUCUGACCUCUCUCCGGCCAGCUGCUGCCCCCAAACACACGGGUGCUGCGGGUCUUGCCCAACCUGCCCUGUGUGGUCCAGGAAGGGGCCAUAGUGAUGGCGCGGGGCCGCCACGUGGGGAGCAGCGAGACCAAGCUCCUGCAGCAUCUGCUGGAGGCCUGUGGGCGGUGUGAGGAGGUGCCUGAAGCCUACGUCGACAUCCACACUGGCCUCAGUGGCAGUGGCGUGGCCUU